GAGCCCGCGGUGGGGGUCCCCGCGCCGCCCAGGCCUACCCCGGCUCCUUGGGAUAGAUGGGGAAGCUGAGGCCCAGAAGGGGGCUGAGACCACCUCCCAGUUUCCCCAGUGAGGUGGCGCCUGAGCCACGGCCAGGCCCGGCCUCCUUCCACCCGGCCCUGCUGUGCGCGCGGCGGGUGCUGACCUGGCGAGGCCGGACAGGGGACCAGGUCGGGGUGACCGUCACUGACACCUGGACAGUCCUCGUUGUGUUCGGGGUGGGAAGCCCACGGAAGACAUCAACACAGGAGACUCCCAAGACUGCUGGGGCCAAAUGUGGCAGGUGGACGUCUCCCCGCCACCGAGCAAGCCAUCAGUUCUGCAGCGGACACCAGCCGAGUGUCCUCCAACACCAUUCCGGACAUAAUUGGAGACACUGGUUAUUUUACCAAAGCUUUGACCGGAAGGAUGUACUUUUGGAUACAAACAGACUGCUUUAAGGAGUCAAAGCUGACUUAUGAAGUUGGCCUCAUCCCUUGUCUACACAGUCACUGUACAGAGUUCCUUGCCUGUAGUAUGUAAAGAAUGUCACUUUCUGACAGGCUCAGGAGCCCCAAAUUAUCCUGGGACCUUGAGGAGAGGACAUUGCCCAAUUUAUAUAGGUAUUUUCAGGCACCAAUAAAUCAUGGCUGGGCUCAAGGCUUUAAAAAAAGUCAAAUCUGGGAUUCGUUAUAGAAUAAAGUUCCAGCAAAGCCAAUUUUAAGACAGGCCUAUAUGGCAAAUAAUUAUUCGUGCUGACAUUAUGCAAACACUCAGGCCAAGUAUAAGAUGAAAAAUUAUUUUAAAUAAAUUUGUCCUACUAUGAUUUGUCUUCAGUAAAAACAGGUACUGGGCUGGGCAUGGUGGCUCACAGCUGUAAUCCCAGCACACUGGGAGGCCAAGGCAGGCAGAUCGCUUGAGGUCAGGAGUUUGAGACCAGCCUGGCCAACAUGGUGGUGAAACACCAUCUCUACCAAAAAAUAUAAAAAUUAGCCAGGUGUGGUGGCAUGUGUCUGUAAUCCUAGCUACCCAGGAGGCUGAGGCAUGAGAAUUGCUUGAACCCAGGAGGUGGAGCUUGCCUGAGUCCUGGUAAGGCACAGACAGAAAGGGUUGUCAGCCAUUUUUUUCUGAGGUUAUAAGAUCUGCAACUUCCCCAGUUAUUCCUGCAGAUAACACCACUAUUGUAGAUUGGCUUUUUGAGAAAUCUUUUCCAGUGUUUGUGCAUGACCGUGGCUCCACCUGGACCCACCUGGACCUGCCAAUCCCACUCGUGUGACCCCACCCAGAAGUGACUCAGUCCUUAGGACUCAGCGUUGACCCCCUGUGAUUUCAUCUCUGCUCUAAGCAAUCAGCAGCAAGCACCUAUUACCUGGCCUCCCCAACUCCUUCCCCUAAAACUGUCUUUGAACAACCCCUAACCUGUGAGUUUUGCAUGAGGUUGUUUGAGUGCUAACUCCAUCUCUGUAGCGUGGCCAGCCUUUUGUCUAUUAAACUCUUUCCUUAUUGCAA
rnacentral:lncRNA from 1 species